GAGAUCAGGAAGAAUCUCUUUAUUACUUCUGUUUCACUCGUAAGAAUUUCUUUCUUCCUAGACUCACUCGAACCUUUUUAAACUUCAAUCUCUUUCUCUAGUUUCACUCGAACGCUGUUCGAGUUAACCCGAAGGAGGGUUUAAAAUCUAACCUUUCGAUAAACACAGAGAGAAACGGAGUUUUGCUUUUUUUUAGUGAAUAACAAUAAAACCCCUAAAAUCCACAAGUACAAGUCCCGAGCAGCCGCGAAGCACCACCGGAAUCGUCACAAUCGCCGAAUCCGCCGCCUCAAAGCUAUCGAGGAAGAGAUAAACGACAUCGCCGCCCAAGUUAACUUACUUUGCCCCCCGAUCUCGUACUCCCCGGUAGCGCCGGAGGAAGAGCGACUUCCCCCGUUUGAAUUUCCCCCCAAUUCCCCCAUAGAUAACUCUCCUCGCCCCGAUUCCCCCGACUCUCAGUUAACUUAUAGGAUCUUCCCGGACUCUCCUGUUUCACUCUCUCCUCUUGGAUCUCCGAUCCCUGUUACCCAUGACCUGGUGGAAGACCAACCUCCUGCGGACUCUCCUAACGAAGGGCCGUGAUCUCGAGGAGGAGGAGGAGGAAACUUAUUCAACCCCUCCGAUCCUCGGAUCUCACGAUCUCGAGGACGAGAAUCGUUCGCCUAGCCCUGCGCUUAGCAUAGAGUUCGUAGAGGAGCUACCACCCCUUCCCCCACGCUGCUACUUUGCCCCUGGUCCCCUUCAGUCAUUGGAAUCUGUUUUGUCGGUACUUCCAAUGUCCUCUGUCCCACUCCCUCCUGGCGCGUUCUCGCUCGGGCCCGAAGAAUUUGAUCUUGAAGCGGUCCGUGCCUUCCUUUGCCGUUCUCCCCCCGACUCGCUCAUUCCGGUGUAUCUUCCCCAUACAUACCCAAGUUAUUAUUUAGUCCCUAAACUAAUAUUCUUAAAUCAUUUCCGCCCCAACACCGCUGUAUUAAAAGAACUUCCAAUGUAAAUCGCACAUCUACAUCCACAUAUACAUACACAUAUAUAUAUAUACAUAUGUAUUUAUAUAGUUAAGAAAAUUAUAAGUAGUAAUUAUCCGAUAAUAAAUCAGUUGUAUAGUAUACUCCACAUUGUAAUUGUUUAGCUUAAAAAUUAUAGAACGCCUAGUUAAAACCGAUUUUAUAUGGAUAUAAUAUUUGAUUUUACCCUUCUCUUAGUUUAACAUUAUAAUUAUAUCAUUGUAAUUGUUAGCUUAAAAAUAUUAGAACACUCAGUUAAAACCGAUUCUAUAUGGAUAUAAUAUUCGAUUUUACCCUUCUCUUAGUUUAACAUUAUAAUUAUAUCAUUGUAAUUGUUAGCUUAAAAAUAUUAGAACACUCAGUUAAAACCGAUUCUAUAUGGAUAUAAUAUUCGAUUUUACCCUUCUCUUAGUCUAACAUUAUAAUUAUAUCAUAGUCCCAGUUGUAUUCGACAUUGUAAUUGUUCACUAAAAAAAAAUUAUAGAGGCUUUAUUUAAACAGUUUUUUUUGUGAAUAUAAAUCAUCCUUUAAGAUAAACAAAUUUGUAUUCUCAUUUACUACUGAUUGAAAUAAACCAGGUACAUAAUUAAUUGGUGCUAAUUUCAUAACCACGACCACCAUCCCUUGCUCUUACAAGAUAAGCACUAGGUCCAAUCCCGAGGUAAAGCAAUUAAGUUUGUUGCCUCAAAAUAGGACCAAGGGACGCGGAGCAUCCCGGAUAUCUUGCCAUUGGGGCCCCCCGCUGCGGGCCCCACUGACCUAUAUCCCGGGUUGUCGACGCGCUCUCCCGUGCCGCACGUGCACAUUCUCGAAUUGUUACGUCCCUCCCUUCUCCCUCUAUAUCUCAUCUACCCUUCUUUAACCCUGGACGUAACAUAUGUAAAAGAUUACUUUAAAUUGUUGAUGGAAUUUUUUUUAUUUUCUCACAGUGGAUGUCCUGGAGUCUGGAGUUGGUAUCUAGCUAGUGAUAUGCAAUUCUUUAUAAUCGGUCAGGCUCUCUUGAUUUUGUCGUCUAUAUAUUUUUACACAGCUGUUGCCAUACUAAGUAUGCUUCUAAUGCUCAAUAGGAUGCUUCUAGGGCUCAAUAUGCUUCUAGGGCUCAAUACUACUAAGCGGUUAUAUUUCGUAUAGUAAUGAAUAUGUUCCAACGUAAGUUGCAAAGUCAUCUUAUUAAUCGUAAGAGUAAUUAAAUAAAUGUGUGCAUUUCUGUUAUCGCAGCAUUGAUGAAUAUGAUAGACUUUUAAAUAGCUUAUACUUUCCACCGUAGGUUCGAAUUGGUCCAUAUAUUAUUGGAAUGAGUACAGGAUAUAUUAUAGUGAGACUAAACAAAAAGUUAAAUUUAAAACGGAACACUGUAAUUUUAUUUUGGAUUUUUGGAGCUGCUUGCAAUAUUUCCGUUUUAUUCAGCCUGUACAACCGAAAUAUAUCUAUUUUGUCUACUGCCAUCUACGUUGCAUUGAGCAGAACAGUGUGGGCUAUAGGUAUAGCAUGGCUUGUAAUUGUCUGCUUUACUAAGCACGGAAGUUAGUAUAAGAGUUUAAUAAUUUAUUGAUAAAUUUUAUAUUAUAAUUAGCAUAAUUUUAUUCUUAUUUAUCAAACACUUGACUCCAUUACAGGCAUCGUUAAGAAACUGUCAUUUAAAAUCUGGAUUCCUGUUAGCAGAUUAACAUACUGUGCUUAUCUUCUGAAUCCUUUUAUCAUAAAUUCAAAUUAAUCUAAACAGUGAAACAUCUGCUCAUGUAGAGCAGUGUUCUGUCCAUGGUAAAUGCAUGAACAAUGAAAACUUCGACAUCGACAAAAAAACCGCUUAUUGUCACAAUUUUUAUUUUUAGUUCACCACAUCUAUAGGAUACAUUGGAAUUAUUUAUUUCUGUGCAUACGGAUUGUCCUUCAUGGCAGAAUUACCGUUUACCACACUAAUGCAAACAUUUAUCCGGUCUCAGAGGAAAAAUAUAGCACAUGGACAUCCAUUGGACAUCAAUCAAACAUUCGUCUGUAGACAUUGGGACGUCCAAUGGAUACUUAAUUAGGGUCAAAUGGAUGGACGUCUGAUGGGCGUCCAUUCGAGAUACGUUUGCAAAUUUGCCGGACGUCCAUUGGACAUCCAAGACAAGUCAUAUUUUUAUAAUAAAACACAUAAUAACAAAAUGACAUGCAC